rfam:Sphingopyxis alaskensis RB2256, complete genome.
AACGGACACUCUGGAAAGCGUUCCGGCGGGUUGUCGGAACCACCGAAGGGGUAACUCCGUCAACCGAUGGAGGAAAACUCUCAGGUUCCCGUGACAGAGGGGGCAUG